AUCUUUGUUCCCGAGCAAGGUUCCCAGCCGGCGGCUGCCGGCCCGGGAUCAAAAGGGAACUCCUGUGCAAAUCAGGGACUAUGCCCGUAGCUGUAAGCUCCGCAAAAGGCUGUACACUCUUUGCCACUGUUCCGGCAGGAACGGGAAGGCGUGCGGCGGGAGCGAGUCAGAAGACCUGCCUUGCCGGACAGGCCGUA
rnacentral:ncRNA from 2 species